rnacentral:rRNA from 1 species
AUUGAACGCUGGCGGCAGGCCUAACACAUGCAAGUCGAGCGAGCGGCGGACGGGUGAGGAAUGUAUGGGGAUAGGCCCGAUAGAGGGGGAUAAAUACUGGAAACGGUGGCUAAUACCGCAUAAUACAGGAUGAACCCAUAUGGGAUUAGCUAGGAGGUGGUGUAAAGUCUCACCUAGGCGACGAUCUCUAGCUGGUCUGAGAGGAUGAUCAGCCACACUGGGACUGAGACACGGCCCAGACUCCUCCGGGAGGCAGCAGUGGGGAAUAUUGGACAAGGGGCGCAAGCCUGAUGCAGCCAUGCCGCGUGUAUGAAGAAGGCCUGAGGGUUGUAAAGUACUUUCAGCGGGGAGGCGUUACCCGCAGAAGAAGCACCGGCUAACUCCGUGCCAGCAGCCGCGGUAAUUC